rnacentral:rRNA from 1 species
AUUGAACGCUGGCGGCAGGCUUAACACAUGCAAGUCGAGCGAGCGGCGGACGGGUGAGUAAUGUCUGGGAAACUGCCUGAUGGAGGGGGAUCACUACUGGACACGGUAGCUAAUACCGCAUACCAUCGGAUUUGCCCAGAUGGGAUUGGCUAGGUGGGGGGGUAAUGGCUCCCCUAGGCGACGAUCCCUAGCUGGUCUGAGAGGAUGACCAGCCACACUGGAAAUGAGACAAGGUCCAGACUCCUACGGGAGGCAGCAGUGGGGAAUAUUGCACAAUGGGCGCAAGCCUGAUGCAGCCAUGCCGCGUGUGUGAAGAAGGCCUUCGGGUUGUAAAGCACUUUCAGCGAGGAGGCGUUACUCGCAGAAGAAGCACCGGCUAACUCCGUGCCAGCAGCCGCGGUAAUUC